rnacentral:rRNA from 1 species
AUUGAACGCUGGCGGCAUGCCUUACACAUGCAAGUCGAACGGCAGCACGGGGCAACCUGGUGGCGAGUGGCGAACGGGUGAGUAAUGCAUCGGAACGUACCUUUCAGUGGGGGAUAACGUAGCGAAAGUUACGCUAAUACCGCAUAUUCUGUGAGCAGGAAAGCAGGGGAUCGCAAGACCUUGCGCUGAUUGAGCGGCCGAUGUCAGAUUAGCUAGUUGGUGAGGUAAAGGCUCACCAAGGCGACGAUCUGUAGCGGGUCUGAGAGGAUGAUCCUCCACACUGGAACUGAGACACGGUCCAGACUCCUACGGGAGGCAGCAGUGGGGAAUUUUGGACAAUGGGGGCAAACCUGAGCCAGCCAUGCCGCGUGAGUGAAGAAGGCCUUCGGGUUGUAAAGCUCUUUCGGCCGGGAAGAAAUCGCACGGGCUAAUACCCUGUGUGGAUGACGGUACCGGAAUAAGAAGCACCGGCUAACUACGUGCCAGCCGCCGCCGUAA